AUUGAACGCUGGCGGCAUGCCUUACACAUGCAAGUCGAACGGUAACAGGGAGCUUGCCCCGCUGACGAGUGGCGAACGGGUGAGUAAUGUAUCGGAACGUACCAUUCAGUGGGGGAUAACGUAGCGAAAGUUACGCUAAUACCGCAUAUUCUGUGAGCAGGAAAGCAGGGGAUCGCAAGACCUUGCGCUGAUUGAGCGGCCGAUAUCAGAUUAGCUAGUUGGUGAGGUAAAGGCUCACCAAGGCGACGAUCUGUAGCGGGUCUGAGAGGAUGAUCCGCCACACUGGAACUGAGACACGGUCCAGACUCCUACGGGAGGCAGCAGUGGGGAAUUUUGGACAAUGGGGGCAACCCUGAUCCAGCCAUGCCGCGUGAGUGAAGAAGGCCUCGGUUGUAAGACUCUUCGUCCGGAAAAGUAACGACAUCAGUAUACCUGUGUGGAGUGAUGUACCGGAAGUAACGAAGACACCGGCGUAACUACGUACGCCACG
rnacentral:rRNA from 1 species